AUAAAAAUCCGCCGCUUUCAGCAAAAAGAGACCCCCUCCAUGAUUUCUUCAUCUCCUUCUUUACUCCAGCUGCAAGAACACCAAAGGGCCCUCUUCCUCUUCCUCCAAAUCCCACCAUUUACAGCUAAAAAAGGCAGCAAGAUAGCCAUGAAAACCAAGCUGAAAACCAACUAAAGCCCACCCCAAAUAAGCCCCCAAAUUCAACCCAAUAAGAGUCCACAAAAUAAAAGCCGAACAGAUAUGAAAAUCUGUUCAGAACCCGCCUAAAAUUAACUUUAAAGCCCCAGAAACAACUGCCAAAUCACCAUUCUUUAGCUUCGUCAAAGCUCCGGUCUCGUUCGAUUUGUCGAGGUCUCGUUCGCUGGCCCUUGUUUGAGUUCGAACGGCAGAAAACGAAACAAAAAAAAAAAGAAGAAACAAAACAGAGUGUGUAAAAUACCAGAAAAUCGAAUGAAAAAAUAAGUUUCAUUCAUCUUCUUCCUGAUUUCUAUUUCAGUUUUAUCAUGGAAUUUGUUUGAGUUUUUGCUGUUUCGAGCUCGACUAAAAACCACCCUCCGCUCGAGGUCUCGUCUGAGGUUGAGUCUAUUUUUGGAGCUCGUUUGUGAGAUCUGUUCGGAGGCAAGUAUUGAAGUUUCGAGUUCGACGAGCUUUCCGUUAGCAGAUCUGAGGUCGUUGUUGAGGUUCCGGCAAGUCGUUUGUUUUCCUGUUCAAGGUUCUCAUUUGCUUGAUGAUCUGAGAAUUGUUGCGAUUGUAAAAGUCGAUCUUCUUUCAGAUUAUAUGGAAUCAUAUUGUGAUAUAUUAUACGACUUCAUAUGUGGCUUGCUUCUUUCACCAUUCGUCAAUUGUUUUAGAACAUCAAGGAGAUUGGCUUGUGCUUUCUAUGCAGGAAUGUGUUUCUAGUGCUACGUUUAGUGUGAACGUAUUGUGUACCUAUAUUGUCGUUAUUUAGUGAGGGAAAUGGUGUUUUGUAAAGAAGGUGGCCAUCAUAUUGUAGUAUGCUUGGUGUUAAUGAAAAGAAAAAGUUUUAGCAAA